ACCUGCUCUAUUUUCUGACAAUAUAAUUUUAUCGGAUAUGAACAGGUCAUUGGAGCUCGACCAUACUCGUCCUUUUUGUGAUUUUAUGUCGACGGAUUUGAAUCAGCAAAUCCCUCCAGAGUCGGUCGCUCAUCAUGAAUUGGGUAAUAAUAAUAAUACUACAUUGGAGGAAAACUCCAUAACAUUUGCUCGGUGGAUCUGUAUAGUAUCUCAAAAGAUGAUCUUCAGAAAAUUCAGCUAUCGCACUGCAACUUCUUUUGAAGCUAAAGAGACAUCUAAAGAUCGUGUACAGCCUAAACGAUGCACGAUGCCAGUCUUUCAAUCCAAAUGAACCACCAAAACCUGGAGAGUUCCUGUCCAAGCAAAAUGUUCCUUCAGACAUCAGCGAAACAUGCACAACUCUGCCAACAUCUUAUCAAGAGUUUAUGCAAAGAUACCAGGAUUUCAAGAGCACUCUUAGGGAUGAUGCAUUUGAUUACUCCACUUACACAGCAAAUAUUAAAAGGAAGCGUCCUACCCCAACGAAAGGACGGAAAUCAGUGGCAGGAAAGGUAGGUAUAGUAGGCGGCGGCGACGAUGAUAGGUGUAUAAGUAAAUUGUAACAUGCUUAGGUUUAGGCGAGAGACGUUAGGAAAGAAAAAAAGGGUUUAGGUAAUCAAUCUGGAAACAGCCAAUAGAAAAAUUGUGGAAGAGUUUGAAUAUCGUCAUGUAAAAACAUCCUCAUUAUUCAUUAAAAAAAAAAACAAAAAAAAAGUUGACACAUCUUCCAAAAGUGCGUACAAAUCUAUAACAAAUUUGAACCUAAGAAAAAGAAAAAGAA